rnacentral:rRNA from 1 species
CCUACGGGGGGCUGCAGUGAGGAAUAUUGGUCAAUGGCCGGAAGGCUGAACCAGCCAUGCCGCGUGAAGGUCAGUGCCCUAUGGGCGUUAAACUUCUUUUGUGCGGGAGCAAUAAUGGUCACGUGUGGCCAGACGAGAGUACCGUACGAAUAAGCAUCGGCUAACUCCGUGCCAGCAGCCGCGGUAAUACGGGGGAUGCAAGCGUUAUCCGGAUUUAUUGGGUGUAAAGGGGGCGUAGGCUGUGAGGUAAGUCAGCGGUGAAAUGCCCCCGCUCAACGGGGUGAAGUGCCAUUGAUACUGGCGUGCUGGAAUGCGGAUGCCGUGGGAGGAAUGUGUGGUGUAGCGGUGAAAUGCAUAGAUAUCACACAGAACACCGAUUGCGAAGGCAUCUCACGAAGCCGCGAUUGACGCUGAUGCACGAAAGCGUGGGUAUCAAACAGGAUUAGAUACCCUAGUAGUC